rnacentral:rRNA from 1 species
AGUGAACGCUGGCGGUAGGCCUAACACAUGCAAGUCGAACGGCAGCACAGGAGAGCUUGCUCUCUAGGUGGCGAGUGGCGGACGGGUGAGGAAUACAUCGGAAUCUGCCCAGUCGUGGGGGAUAACGUAGGGAAACUUACGCUAAUACCGCAUACGACCUUCGGGUGAAAGAGGGGGAUCGCAAGACCUCUCGCGAUUGGAUGAGCCGAUGUCGGAUUAGCUAGUUAGCGGGGUAAUGGCCCACCAAGGCGACGAUCCGUAGCUGGUCUGAGAGGAUGAUCAGCCACACUGGAGCUGAGACACGGUCCAGACUCCUACGGGAGGCAGCAGUGGGGAAUAUUGGACAAUGGGCGCAAGCCUGAUCCAGCCAUACCGCGUGGGUGAAGAAGGCCUUCGGGUUGUAAAGCCCUUUUGUUGGGAAAGAAAUCUUUCAGGCUAAUACCCUGGGAGGAUGACGGUACCCAAAGAAUAAGCACCGGCUAACUUCGUG